rnacentral:rRNA from 1 species
GAUGAACGCUGACAGAAUGCUUAACACAUGCAAGUCAACUUGAAUUUGGGUUUUUAACUUAGAUUUGGGUGGCGGACGGGUGAGUAACGCGUAAAGAACUUGCCUCACAGCUAGGGACAACAUUUAGAAAUGAAUGCUAAUACCUGAUAUUAUGAUUUUAAGGCAUCUUAGAAUUAUGAAAGCUAUAAGCACUGUGAGAGAGCUUUGCGUCCCAUUAGCUAGUUGGAGAGGUAACAGCUCACCAAGGCGAUGAUGGGUAGCCGGCCUGAGAGGGUGAACGGCCACAAGGGGACUGAGACACGGCCCUUACUCCUACGGGAGGCAGCAGUGGGGAAUAUUGGACAAUGGACCAAGAGUCUGAUCCAGCAAUUCCGUGUGCACGAUGAAGUUUUUCGGAAUGUAAAGUGCUUUCAGUUGGGAAGAAAUAAAUGACGGUACCAACAGAAGAAGUGACGGCUAAAUACGUGCCAGCAGCCGCGGUAAUACGUAUGUCACGAGCGUUAUCCGGAUUUAUUGGGCGUAAAGCGCGUCUAGGUGGUUAUGUAAGUCUGAUGUGAAAAUGCAGGGCUCAACUCUGUAUUGCGUUGGAAACUGUAUAACUAGAGUACUGGAGAGGUAAGCGGAACUACAAGUGUAGAGGUGAAAUUCGUAGAUAUUUGUAGGAAUGCCGAUGGGGAAGCCAGCUUACUGGACAGAUACUGACGCUAAAGCGCGAAAGCGUGGGUAGCAAACAGG